GGUUUUGUUUAUCCUAGGGUGAACAAGGUAAUAAUAACAAUAGCAAUAAUAAUAAGGUCAUAACAAAGGUAAAUAGGCAUGGCUAAAUAAAACAGUGAUAACGCGGGAAUUUAAAUAAAGCGAUAAUGCAAUAAUUUAAAUCAACAUAAUUUUAUAAACUGGGAUUCAAUAUGUUCAAGGAUGAUGUGACUUGCCUUGCUCGCUUUCCCAAACGUCGGCUUCAACUUCCACGAAGAGCGGAUCUUCCGAAGCUGCAGCGUCUACACGACCAACGGAAAAGAAAAGGCUUUUACUCUAAUAAACUCCACAUAACAGCAGAAACAAAGCACAAAAAUGGGUUCUUGACUUCUUAAGGAAAAAUUAGAGACUUGAACGGUCCAAUUCCGAGUUCAAAUGGCCAAGUUAUGGCCAUUUGAAGUUUAUAUGCUCUUUAAAUGGAUAUUUGCGAAUUUCUUCAUUUAAAUUUUAAUUAAAAA
rnacentral:misc_RNA from 1 species